CCACAGCCUUGGCACACAGCUUCUCCCAGCGAAGAAGGACCGCACACAAGUGGCUCUGUAGGCUGCCCUGAAUCUCUCACCUCAGGAAUGAAACCAGAGACUUCUGUCAAACUCUCUUCCACUAGUUUCACCAUCCUGAUGAGAUGUCUUCCGCAUCCUUUGACGACAGAAAGUCUGAGUGUGAAGACAGCAGCUGUUCUGGUUAUGAGAGAGGUGCUAGCCACCAUUUGUGGCUCUUCAGGGUUUGGGGACCUACGCCAGCCAACAUUGUCACCAGAACAAGACUUGUGCUGAUUUCUAGCAUAAGCCAUUCACACUUUCCUCACAGUAUUGCUUGAGUCUGACUUCUGUUCACAUGCAUCGAUAGGUCUUUUUGUGUGAUAUACGGUGAAGCAGAGACCAUCCACACAGCUACCUCUCCUCCUACUUUAUCUGAAUGCUUCCCUCUCUCCUCCAUUCCAUUGCCUCUUCCCUCCUCCCUUCAUCAUUCCAUGAUGACUACCCACCCAUCCCGACCCCCCCCCUUGUUGAGAAACGCUCUCAUUAAGUGGUCCAGGCUGUAUAUAUACCCCAUGCCUGCCUUAAACUUGCAAUCUACUUGCAUCAUCCUCCCUUUGCUUUACUGAAGGCCACUGCUCCUGGAGUAAUAAACUAUUCUCACCAC
rnacentral:lncRNA from 1 species